rnacentral:rRNA from 1 species
AGAGUUUGAUCCUGGCUCAGGAUGAACGCUAGCGGCAGGCUUAAUACAUGCAAGUCGAACGGAUAUAGCAAUAUAUUAGUGGCGCACGGGUGAGUAACGCGUACAUAACAUGCCUUUGACUGGAGAAUAGCCCUUGGAAACGAGGAGUAAUACUCCAUGGUAUUAUAGAGUGGCAUCACUUUAUAAUUAAAGUUACGGCGGUCAAAGAUUGAUGUGCGUAAGAUUAGGUAGUUGGUGAGGUAACGGCUCACCAAGCCGACGAUCUUUAGGGGGCGUGAGAGCGUGACCCCCCACACGGGUACUGAGACACGGACCCGACUCCUACGGGAGGCAGCAGUAGGGAAUAUUGGUCAAUGGAGGCAACUCUGAACCAGCCAUGCCGCGUGAAGGAUGAAGGCGCUCUGCGUCGUAAACUUCUUUUAUAUGGGGCGAAAAUGCGGGUUUUAACCUGUACUGACAGUACCAUAGGAAUAAGCACCGGCUAACUCCGUGCCAGCAGCCGCGGUAAUACGGAGGAUCCAAGCGUUAUCCGGAAUCAUUGGGUUUAAAGGGUCCGUAGGCGGGUUUGUAAGUCAGUGGUGAAAUCUCACAGCUCAACUGUGAAAUUGCCAUUGAUACUGCAGGUCUUGAAUAAUAAGGAAGUAACUAGAAUAUGUAGUGUAGCGGUGAAAUGCUUAGAGAUUACAUGGAAUACCAAUUGCGAAGGCAGGUUACUACUUAUUUAUUGACGCUGAUGGACGAAAGCGUGGGUAGCGAACAGGAUUAGAUACCCUGGUAGUCCACACUGUAAACGAUGAUUACUAGCUGUUGGGUCGAUAGAUUCAGUG